CUUCAUGAUGAUGAGGGCUAGCCAGUCUGCACUAAGGAUGAGAGUAUGGACCAACAGAGGUCAUGCUGCACUAAAGAACACAUUCCAAAGAUAUCCUAUGUAAAAUGGCAAAAUGUCUCGCUAACUCCAAAGGUUCUCAGGGAAAUUAAAAAGAAGUCUGGGCUUGCCUUUCCUGUAAGUGUUCCAGGGUACUGUCUGUCGUGGAGGAGAUGUCACUGUGGAGUGUUCCAGGGAACUGUCUGUUGUGGAGGAGAUGUCACAGUGGUGGCAGGAGCUUGAAGCUGGCAGUUAUGUUGACUCCACAUCAAGGAAGGACAUAGAGUGGGAUGCUGGAGCUCGGCCCACUCUAUCCUUUUUCUGUGGUCUCAGUCCAGGGAAUAGUGUUGGGCACAUACAGGGAAGGUCCCACCACCUCAGUUAAUCUAAUCGAGCAAAUCCCUUA